AUUGAACGCUGGCGGCAGGCCUAACACAUGCAAGUCGAGCGGAGCGGCGGACGGGUGAGUAAUGACUAGGAAUCUGCCUGGUAGUGGGGGAUAACGUCCGGCAACGGGCGCUAAUACCGCAUACUAUCAGAUGAGCCUAGGUCGGAUUAGCUAGUGGGUGGGGUAAAGGCUGACCUAGGCGACGAUCCCUAGCUGGUCUGAGAGGAUGACCAGCCACACUGGAACUGAGACACGGUCCAGACUCCUACGUGAGGCAGCAGUGGGGAAUAUUGCACAAUGGGCGCAAGCCUGAUGCAGCCAUGCCGCGUGUAUGAAGAAGGCCUUCGGGUUGUAAAGUACUUUCAGCCGGGAGGCGUUACCCGCAGAAGAAGCACCGGCUAACUCCGUGCCAGCAGCCGCGGUAAUUC
rnacentral:rRNA from 1 species